rnacentral:misc_RNA from 1 species
CUAAAAACCAGUAAUAACAUGUCGGCCUUUAUUAAAAAUUUUGCUUACCAGUCAUUUUACAAUAUGGUUGGCAUCCAGUGGUUGAUCAUGCAUUAGUGCUUUGUGCAUGAUUUUCAGUUUUUGUUCUCAUUCAUGCACUUCUAAAAGGCACUAAGGUUAGGAGUUGGUCUAAUUGUUCGUCAUUGUAUGCUGUAGAAGGUAAGCGCCAAAUCAAUUUCCCAUAAAAUUGGUAUAUCUUGAGUAUCUAAUGUCAAGUUAAGAUUACUCAUAAAAGGAAAUUUGAAAACUAACAUUGUAUGGUACAUGAUUCCAAUAUGUUUAUUUAUUUUUGCAUGGUUGCUUGGAUUAGUGGUUUAAUACAUUUUUUUUUUAUUUCCUUCC